UUGGCUUUCUUUGUGUGGUUUCUCUGAACUGAAUCUAAUCUUUCUGCCCUACCAACUCUUUUUCCAUAAGACAAAUUGGGUUCUUCUGGUGAAAACUUAGAUGUUGAAGCAUGGGCGGCGGCUUGAGGCCCGUUCCGAAUGACCUAUUCGACCCGGAAACAACGCUUUUUGCUUAAGAGAGGGGCCCCUGGGGCCAAACUCAAACUUUCAUCUUGGAGCUAGGGCAUACGUUGAGCCAGCUUUGCCAGAUCGGACCGCGUUCGUCUUAGAGCACCAGUCAAGCUCAUCACUAGGUAACGAACGAGUCGAAACAGAUGGUGAUCAGAGGUGGACAGCUAGGCAAGCUCUAGCUGGUGGAGCAAGGGCUGAGGCUGUAGUUUCAAAUCCAACCAAGAAAGUCUGCCAGCAGAAUCUAGGGCUGGAUAGAGGUUGCCAACCGGGAUUUAGUACCCAACUAACUAAUAAAAAGGGCUUGUUGCCCGCUCUAAACUAAAGGAAUUAGAGCUUCCUUUGGAGGCUCCUCGGGGAUAAUAAGGUAGAAAGAGCGGAGAUAUGGGCUAGCCCUAAAAUCAGUGUAUGAAAGGUCCCGGCAAGAAGGGUUGGGAACGGGGCUAAACGAAACUCCCUCGAGAAGGGAAAUAGAAGAGCUUUUAAGCCACGUUGAGAAUGGUCGGUGGGGUCAGUUAAAGGUAUGUAAGCCGACACUGACGCAGAGACAUCUGUUGUUCUUUCAGCAAAUGAAUAAUAGGAUUUCCUCCCUUUCAAGGUAGGUAUAUGGGUAUACUACAGAAUCGGAGCAUAGAGCAGCUGGUGGGGAAGGAAGCGAGGCCGGUGUGGAAGGAAGAUGUCCGUGUCCUGUAGCUUUCGGCCAACAAGAGGGGAGGGCAGCGAGAACUUCACUCAAUAGAAGUUCGACCAUACAUACCCAUGACCAAUCACAAUGAACAACGCGGUCUUAGAAUAGAAAGUUUCGGGUACUGGGUCUCAUUCUGUUGGUUUGACACCUAUAGAGGCAACUGUAUUCAAAUGAGGCUGCCAUCCCUUAGCUUAGGGCGGGGAAGGGCUGGGGAAGGAAGCACUUCAAACAAUCCAUUUUUCAUUUUUUGUUAGUCUUCCCUCGACCGAUGGAUCAAUCCCCUCAGCCGCUGAUGUUCGAUCCUCAAUUACCGAUAGAUGGACACUGCUCUAUCCCAAGCAGCUGUUGAAGUCAACCCUGACCACCCUCCAGAUAAAGCGGCCAUCACCUCAAUUGCUGCUAAUAGACCUGCACACACCAGAUUGCAACGGAUGAAUUACAACAAAUACAGCAGCAUCAAGUGAUUAAGAAUGUUUAAAUGCCAUCCUAAUUGCUGACGCCCCUUCUCUAAUUUCUACCCAUCCGAUUAGCAAAGUGACAAACAAAUACAGCUGUACAGCAGACCGAACCUUACCCAAGACCAACUACCUCAGGCCCAGGUAUAGCACCAACUUACAUUUGAAAGCCCAAGCCAUAGCCCGGUUUGAAAAAGUUGUAGUUGUACUAGAAGCAGCAUAAGCAAGAAGCAUAAGCAGCAUAAGCAGCAAAGAGAGAGCGCGCUAGCGCUAUUAUUUAUUCGCUCCUUAAUAGCAGCGGCUUUCUUGCUCGGGUAAGCAGCAUAAGCAGAAGCAGCGUAAGCAGCAAAGAGAGAGCGCGCUAGCGCUAUUAUUUAUUCGCUCCUUAAUAGCAGUGGCUU
rnacentral:lncRNA from 1 species